GGGAAACUUACCAAGGCCAAACAGAGGUGGGAUUGACAGAUUGAGAGCUCUUUCUUGAUUCUUUGGGUGGUGGUGCAUGGCCGUUCUUAGUUGGUGGAGUGAUUUGUCUGGUUAAUUCCGUUAACGAACGAGACCUCGACCUGCUAAAUAGAGCGACGAAUCCUUGUGAUUCGUUGGUACUUCUUAGAGGGACUGUUGGUGCCUAGCCAAUGGAAGUUCGAGGCAAUAA
rnacentral:rRNA from 1 species